rnacentral:rRNA from 1 species
UACAGAGGGUGCAAGCGUUGUUCGGAAUUAUUGGGCGUAAAGCGCGUGUAGGCGGCGAUAUAAGUCGGGUGUGAAAGCCCUCAGCUCAACUGAGGAAGUGCGCCCGAAACUGUGUUGCUUGAGUGCCAGAGAGGGUAGCGGAAUUCCCCAAGUAGAGGUGAAAUUCGUAGAUAUGGGGAGGAACACCGGUGGCGAAGGCGGCUACCUGGAUGGCAACUGACGCUGAGACGCGAAAGCGUGGGGAGCAAACAGGAUUAGAAACCCGCGUAGUCC